UACGUAGGGACCAAGCGUUGUUCGGAUUUACUGGGCGUAAAGGGCGCGUAGGCGGCGUGACAAGUCACUUGUGAAAUCUCUGGGCUUAACCCAGAACGGCCAAGUGAAACUGUUGUGCUAGAGUGCAGAAGGGGCAAUCGGAAUUCUCGGUGUAGCGGUGAAAUGCGUAGAUAUCGAGAGGAACACCAGAGGUGAAGACGGGUUGCUGGGCUGACACUGACGCUGAGGCGCGAAAGCGUGGGGAGCGAUCCGG
rnacentral:rRNA from 1 species